rnacentral:rRNA from 1 species
AACGAACGCUGGCGGCAUGCCUAACACAUGCAAGUCGAACGAGACCUUCGGGUCUAGUGGCGCACGGGUGCGUAACGCGUGGGAACCUGCCCUUAGGUUCGGAAUAACUCCCCGAAAGGGGUGCUAAUACCGGAUAAUGUCUUCGGACCAAAGAUUUAUCGCCUUUGGAUGGGCCCGCGUUGGAUUAGCUAGUUGGUAGGGUAAAAGCCUACCAAGGCGACGAUCCAUAGCUGGUCUGAGAGGAUGAUCAGCCACACUGGGACUGAGACCCGGCCCAGACCACUACGGGGGGCAGAAGGGGGGAAUAUUGGACAAGGGGCGAAAGCCUGAUCCAGCAAGGCCGGGUGAGGUAUGAAGGCCUUAGGGUUGUAAAGCUCUUUUCCCCGGGAUGAUAAUGACAGUACCGGGAAAAUAAGCCCCGGCUAACUCCGU